GAUUUACUUCGGUAAUGACGUUAGGAAAGCGAGCGGCGGAUGGGUGAGUAACACGUGGGGAACCUGCCCCAUAGUCUGGGAUACCACUUGGAAACAGGUGCUAAUACCGGAUAAGAAAGCAGAUCGCAUGAUCAGCUUUUAAAAGGCGGCGUAAGCUGUCGCUAUGGGAUGGCCCCGCGGUGCAUUAGCUAGUUGGUAAGGUAAAGGCUUACCAAGGCGAUGAUGCAUAGCCGAGUUGAGAGACUGAUCGGCCACAUUGGGACUGAGACACGGCCCAAACUCCUACGGGAGGCAGCAGUAGGGAAUCUUCCACAAUGGACGCAAGUCUGAUGGAGCAACGCCGCGUGAGUGAAGAAGGUUUUCGGAUCGUAAAGCUCUGUUGUUGGUGAAGAAGGAUAGAGGUAGUAACUGGCCUUUAUUUGACGGUAAUCAACCAGAAAGUCACGGCUAACUACGUGCCAGCAGCCGCGGUAAUACGUAGGUGGCAAGCGUUGUCCGAAUUUAUUGGGCGUAAAGCGAGCGCAGGCGGAAGAAUAAGUCUGAUGUGAAAGCCCUCGGCUUAACCGAGGAACUGCAUCGGAAACUGUUUUUCUUGAGUGCAGAAGAGGAGAGUGGAACUCCAUGUGUAGCGGUGGAAUGCGUAUAUAUAUGGAAGAACACCAGUGGCGAAGGCGGCUCUCUGGUCUGCAACUGACGCUGAGGCUCGAAAGCUUGGGUAGCGAACAG
rnacentral:rRNA from 1 species